AUGGAAGACCCCUACACGAGCUUCCUCAAGAACCCCCACUACUACUACUGCACUUCCUCCUUCCCCGCCCCUCCCCCCACCCCUCACCUCCCUCCUCCCUUCCCACCUUACGCCGCCCUCUACCCCGCCGUGGCCGCGGCUGCGACCGCAGCUCCUCACCACCAGUACCCCUCGUUCUUCCAGCACCAGCCGGCGCAGCCCGCUCAUCACUACAGCACGGCGCCUCCCUCCCCUCCGCUCCGGGAGGCGCUCCCCCUCCUCUCCCUCUCGCCCACGCCCGCCGCCCGCCCUCGUGCCGCCCAGCAGCACGACGUCGCCGACACCGAUUCCGACGACGAUGACAACGACUGCUGCUACCACCUGCAGCAGGAGGUGGCGGCGGGCUCGAGGACGACCUCUGCGCGCACACCGCUCUUCGCCGACCUCAACUGCGUGCCGUCCUGCUGCGACGACGGCGACGGCGACCCGAUGGACGUCGAGGCCUCCUGGUCCACGUCCACGGACGACGCCGCCGUUGCUCUGCGCAUCGGCCUCCCGGCCGCUGAAGCUGACCUUCUGUCCGGGCUUUCGGGCAGGGCCGCGGAAGAGGACGAGGAGGAGGAAGAUGAUUGCAAGCCGGGAGGCGGGCACGAGGAGGUGCCUCUAGGGUUCUCUUCGACGGCGCCGAUCGGGAGGCUGAACAAGGGGCAAUACUGGAUCCCGACGCCGUCGCAGAUCCUCAUCGGUCCCACCCAGUUCUCCUGCCCCGUCUGCUUCAAGACAUUCAACCGAUACAACAACAUGCAGAUGCACAUGUGGGGUCACGGGUCGCAGUACCGGAAGGGCCCCGAGUCACUGCGCGGGGUGCAGCCGACGGCGAUGCUGCGGCUGCCGUGCUACUGCUGCGCGGCGGGGUGCCGGAACAACAUCGACCACCCGCGGGCCAAGCCGCUCAAGGACUUCCGCACCCUGCAGACGCACUACAAGCGCAAGCACGGCCUCAAGCCCUUCCUCUGCCGCCGGUGCGGCAAGGCCUUCGCCGUCAAGGGCGACUGGCGCACCCACGAGAAGAACUGCGGCAAGCUCUGGUACUGCCUCUGCGGCUCCGAGUUCAAGCACAAGCGCUCGCUCAAGGACCACGCCCGCGCCUUCGGUCACGGCCACGGCGCUUUCGGUUGCAACGGCGCCGCCGGUGGCGAUGGCGGCUUCGACGACGAUGACGAGGGCGCCGUCUCCGAGAUCGAGCACGACGUCGUCUGCGGCGCCGCGGCGCGGUGA
rnacentral:rRNA from 1 species